GGAGGAUUUUGGGGGCGAUUUUCACCAAAAGGAUUUGGAUUUUGAGCUUUUGGAGACCAAGUCCAGAGACGAGGGCAUCCCGAAGUAGGAUUUUACGAUGUUAAGAUUUGAGGCGAUUGGAGACCGAUUUGCGAGACAAAGGCAUAUCAUAAUAAAGAAUUACACAGUUUGAGAUCCAGGUACUUCUGGACACGAUGGUUGCUAGUUCUCAGUUUACUCAGUGACACCGUAUUUUGGGAAUGUAUUUUAUGUCAGUGAUUUGUGAGAUUUUCUAUGAAAUUCAAAUAUUAUGUUUUCAAACUUAAAAAAUAUUGUCGUUUAUUGAGGUUGUCGGUUUGCCUAAUUUUGAGAUAGGCGGCAACACGACAAGUUAGGACUUUUGGGUCGUGACAAGUUGGUAUCAGAGCCCAGACUUGUACUCUAUCUUGCGGAAUUGAUUCAGCUUGAAACAUAACUCUUUGAAUAUCUUCCACGCGUUCGUGUGCGUAUGUGAGCGUUCAGUAUCAGCUGGAUUGUCAGAUUUUAAAUGGAAGAAAUCAAGAUUUUUGCAAAACUUUUCAGGAACGAAAAUGUUAGAUUUGGAGGUC